AUUGAACGCUGGCGGCAUGCUUUACACAUGCAAGUCGAACGGUAACAGGGUGCUUGCACCGCUGACGAGUGGCGAACGGGUGAGUAAUGCGUCGGAACGUGCCGAGUAGUGGGGGAUAACGCAGCGAAAGUUGUGCCAAUACCGCAUACGUACUGAGGUAGAAAGUGGGGGACCUUCGGGCCUCACGCUAUUCGAGCGGCCGACGUCUGAUUAGCUAGUAGGUGAGGUAAAGGCUCACCUAGGCGACGAUCAGUAGCGGGUCUGAGAGGAUGAUCCGCCACACUGGGACUGAGACACGGCCCAGACUCCUACGGGAGGCAGCAGUGGGGAAUUUUGGACAAUGGGCGAAAGCCUGAUCCAGCCAUGCCGCGUGUCUGAAGAAGGCCUUCGGGUUGUAAAGGACUUUUGUCAGGGAGGAAAUCCCUAGUGCUAAUAACACUGGGGGAUGACAGUACCUGGAGAAUAAGCACCGGCUAACUACGUGCCAGCAGCCGCAGUAA
rnacentral:rRNA from 1 species